rnacentral:RNase_P_RNA from 1 species
GGAGUGAGCCGGACCACCGCGUCCCGCCACGCCUCGGCGCCGGCGAGAUGAGGAAAGUCCGAACACGGCAGAGCAGAGUAGGAGGUAACGCCUCCCGCUAGCGAUAGCGCUACAGGGCCACAGAAACCAGGUCUGCCCCGCUGCGCGGGGCAAGAGUGAAAAGGGUAACCAGUACUUCGUGCAAGUGCAAAUAGGCUUACGUUUGUCCCGCUUUAUUGAGAACGGCGAAGUGAGAGCGGGACAUGAAGGGCGGCUCGCUCGAGUAAGCGGGUAGCAUGCUCGAGGCUGUUGGUGACAACAGUCCCAGAUAAAUGGUGGUCAUCCCGCUGCGGCGGGAGACAGAAUUCGGCUUACAGGCUCGCUUCGCAA